rnacentral:rRNA from 1 species
UAGGGAAUAUUAGAAAUGGACGAAAGUCUGAUCUCGCAACACCGCGUGUGCGAAGAAGGCCUUCGGGUCGUAAAGCACUUUUUGGAAGGAAUAGGAAGGAAUGUACUUCCAGAAUAAGUCUCGGCUAACUACGUGCCAGCAGCCGCGGUAACACGUAGGAGGCAAACGUUAUCCGGAUUUACUGGGCGUAAAGCGCGUGUAGGUGGUUCUGUAAGUAGGGCGUGAAAGCUCCUGGCUCAACUGGGAGAGGCCGUUCUAAACUGCAGAGCUAGAGGAUGGUAGAGGGAGGUGGAAUUCCGGGUGUAGCGGUGGAAUGCGCAGAUAUCCGGAGGAACACCAGUGGCGAAAGCGGCCUCCUGGACCAUGCCUGAAACUCAGACGCGAAAGCUAGGGUAGCAAACGGGGUUAGGUGCCCGAGUAGUC